UACGAGGGGGGGCGAGCGUUGUUCGGAAUUAUUGGGCGUAAAGGGUGCGUAGGCGGUUCCGCAAGUCCUGUGUGAAAUCUUCGGGCUCAACUCGAAGUCUGCACGGGAAACUGCGGGGCUUGAGUGUGGGAGAGGUGAGUGGAAUUCCCGGUGUAGCGGUGAAAUGCGUAGAUAUCGGAAGGAACACCUGUGGCGAAAGCGGCUCACUGGACCGUAACUGACGCUGAAACACGAAAGCGUGGGUAGCAAACAGG
rnacentral:rRNA from 1 species